CCACUGCUCUGGGGAGCCCUGUCAACUCUUCUGCAGCAGAGGACCUUGUGUGGUAGGAGGAAAAGAGUGCAGUGUUGUACCUGUCCAACACACCCAAAUGGAUAUAUCCCAGUUGCUAAAACAGCAGAGCAAAGGCCUGAGCUAGUUAGAGAUAUGGCUGAGCUGUCCAGUUAGAGUCCAGUUCCUGAGCUUAAAACUGGCAUGAACUCGUAACCAAAGGGGCAAACCCAGCUGUGUGGUUUGAAAGACUGACACCUACAGGAGCCCUGUGAAGUUGGAGUUGGGGUGACCUCUGGACUGGGAGUUACUUAAACCUGAUUUAUUGACUGCCUGUGUUGGAAAAAUGAAGGGAAAUUAUGCUAUUAGCAUCAUUAGUACAUAAUCUUCUAGCCUCAGGGGCACUGAAUAUUCAAGCAAGCAAGCAAAAAAAGACUGUUUAUUGCUGAGCAGAUGGCAGGCUGGGAAUGGGCCAUUAGAGAAAACAAUAGGCCUCAGAAGAAGAUUAUCUCCAAUUGAGGAGCCUUCCUAAGAACACUACAAACAGCCUCUGAGUCAUGGCUGCUGUGACCCAACAGGGACAUAUGACCAAGUCACCUGGUACUGGACUCCAUCCUGGAAUACCAUUGUUUUUCCACUGACCGGAUGCGGAAACCAAGCUUGGAGAAAAAGGAUUCCCGACAUAUGCAAAAGCUAUUAAAGGCAGGGGAGUGACAUCAUCAAAGUGCUUCACUGACUCCCCACCCAAAGAGACUCCUGGAAACACCUGAGGAACACGGACUG